ensembl:lncRNA
UAUAGGGCGCUAUGGGGGCUACAGGGCACGCUAUGGGGCCUAUAGGGCACGCUAUGGGGGCUAUAGGACACGCUAUGGGGGCUAUAGGGCACACUAUGGGGGCUAUAGGGCACGCUACGGGAUCUAUAGGGCGUGGUAUGGUGGCUAUAGGGCACGCUAUGGGGUCUAUAGGGCACACUAUGGGGGCUAUAGGGCACCUAUGGGGUCCACAGGGUGCGCUAUGGGGUCUAUAGGGCACGCUAUGGGGGCUAUAGGGCACACUAUGGGGUCUAUAGGGCACGCUAUGGGGGCUAUAGGGUGUGCUAUGGGGCUAUAAGGUUCUAUGGGGCACCCAUGGGUGCUGUGGGGAAUUAUGGGGCACCCAUAGAUUCUAUGGGGACUUAUGGGCAGCAUAUGGGGCAUGUGGGAUCUACGGGGCACCAAUGGAUCUAUG